AGUCACUGACAUUAGAUACCCGCGUAGUCCCAGCCGUAAACUAUGCGCGUUAGGUGUAUCGGUGACCACGAGUUACCGAGGUUGCCGAGGGAAACCGUGAAACGUGCCGCCUGGAAGUACGGUCGCAAGGCUGAACUUAAAGGAAUUGCGGGGAGCACCACAACAGGUGGAGCCUGCGGUUUAAUUGGACUCAACGCCGGGAAGCUCACCGGAUAGGACAGCAGAAUGAUUGCCGGGCUGAAGACCCUGCAUGACUAGCUG
rnacentral:rRNA from 1 species